rnacentral:rRNA from 1 species
GGGUUGUGAGGUUAAGCGACUAAGCGUACACGGUGGAUGCCCUGGCAGUCAGAGGCGAUGAAGGACGUGCUAAUCUGCGAAAAGCGUCGGUAAGGUGAUAUGAACCGUUAUAGCCGGCGAUGUCCGAAUGGGGAAACCCAGUGCAAUUCGUUGCACUAUCGUUAACUGAAUACAUAGGUUAACGAGGCGAACCGGGGGAACUGAAACAUCUAAGUACCCCGAGGAAAAGAAAUCAACCGAGAUUCCCCCAGUAGCGGCGAGCGAACGGGGAGCAGCCCAGAGUCUGAAUCAGCUUGUGUGUUAGUGGAACGGUCUGGAAAGUCCGACGGUACAGGGUGAUAGUCCCGUACACCAAAAUGCACAGGCUGUGAACUCGAAGAGUAGGGCGGGACACGUGGUAUCCUGUCUGAAUAUGGGGGGACCAUCCUCCAAGGCUAAAUACUCCUGACUGACCGAUAGUGAACCAGUACCGUGAGGGAAAGGCGAAAAGAACCCCGGCGAGGGGAGUGAAAAAGAACCUGAAACCGUGUACGUACAAGCAGUGGGAGCACCUUCGGGUGUGACUGCGUACCUUUUGUAUAAUGGGUCAGCGACUUAUAUUCUGUAGCAAGGUUAACCGUAUAGGGGAGCCGCAGGGAAACCGAGUCUUAACUGGGCGUUAAGUUGCAGGGUAUAGACCCGAAACCCGGUGAUCUAGCCAUGGGCAGGUUGAAGGUUGGGUAACACUAACUGGAGGACCGAACCGACUAAUGUUGAAAAAUUAGCGGAUGACUUGUGGCUGGGGGUGAAAGGCCAAUCAAACCGGGAGAUAGCUGGUUCUCCCCGAAAGCUAUUUAGGUAGCGCCUCGUGAACUCAUCUUCGGGGGUAGAGCACUGUUUCGGCUAGGGGGUCAUCCCGACUUACCAACCCGAUGCAAACUACGAAUACCGAAGAAUGUUAUCACGGGAGACACACGGCGGGUGCUAACGUCCGUCGUGAAGAGGGAAACAACCCAGACCGCCAGCUAAGGUCCCAAAGUCAUGGUUAAGUGGGAAACGAUGUGGGAAGGCACAGACAGCCAGGAUGUUGGCUUAGAAGCAGCCAUCAUUUAAAGAAAGCGUAAUAGCUCACUGGUCGAGUCGGCCUGCGCGGAAGAUGUAACGGGGCUAAACCAUGCACCGAAGCUGCGGCAGCGACACUAUGUGUUGUUGGGUAGGGGAGCGUUCUGUAAGCCUGCGAAGGUGACCUGUGAGGGUUGCUGGAGGUAUCAGAAGUGCGAAUGCUGACAUAAGUAACGAUAAAGCGGGUGAAAAGCCCGCUCGCCGGAAGACCAAGGGUUCCUGUCCAACGUUAAUCGGGGCAGGGUGAGUCGACCCCUAAGGCGAGGCCGAAAGGCGUAGUCGAUGGGAAACAGGUUAAUAUUCCUGUACUUGGUGUUACUGCGAAGGGGGGACGGAGAAGGCUAUGUUAGCCGGGCGACGGUUGUCCCGGUUUAAGCAUGUAGGCUGGUUGUCCAGGCAAAUCCGGAUAAUCAAGGCUGAGGUGUGAUGACGAGGCACUACGGUGCUGAAGUAACAAAUGCCCUGCUUCCAGGAAAAGCCUCUAAGCAUCAGGUAACAUUAAAUCGUACCCCAAACCGACACAGGUGGUCAGGUAGAGAAUACCAAGGCGCUUGAGAGAACUCGGGUGAAGGAACUAGGCAAAAUGGUGCCGUAACUUCGGGAGAAGGCACGCUGGUGUGUAGGUGAAGUCCCUGCGGAUGGAGCUGAGACCAGUCGAAGAUACCAGCUGGCUGCAACUGUUUAUUAAAAACACAGCACUGUGCAAACACGAAAGUGGACGUAUACGGUGUGACGCCUGCCCGGUGCCGGAAGGUUAAUUGAUGGGGUUAUCCGUAAGGAGAAGCUCUUGAUCGAAGCCCCGGUAAACGGCGGCCGUAACUAUAACGGUCCUAAGGUAGCGAAAUUCCUUGUCGGGUAAGUUCCGACCUGCACGAAUGGCGUAAUGAUGGCCAGGCUGUCUCCACCCGAGACUCAGUGAAAUUGAACUCGCUGUGAAGAUGCAGUGUACCCGCGGCAAGACGGAAAGACCCCGUGAACCUUUACUAUAGCUUGACACUGAACAUUGAGCCUUGAUGUGUAGGAUAGGUGGGAGGCUUUGAAGCGUGGACGCCAGUCUGCGUGGAGCCAACCUUGAAAUACCACCCUUUAAUGUUUGAUGUUCUAACGUUGGCCCCUUACCGGGGUUGCGGACAGUGUCUGGUGGGUAGUUUGACUGGGGCGGUCUCCUCCCAAAGCGUAACGGAGGAGCACGAAGGUUAGCUAAUCCUGGUCGGACAUCAGGAGGUUAGUGCAAUGGCAUAAGCUAGCUUGACUGCGAGCGUGACGGCGCGAGCAGGUGCGAAAGCAGGUCAUAGUGAUCCGGUGGUUCUGAAUGGAAGGGCCAUCGCUCAACGGAUAAAAGGUACUCCGGGGAUAACAGGCUGAUACCGCCCAAGAGUUCAUAUCGACGGCGGUGUUUGGCACCUCGAUGUCGGCUCAUCACAUCCUGGGGCUGAAGUAGGUCCCAAGGGUAUGGCUGUUCGCCAUUUAAAGUGGUACGCGAGCUGGGUUUAGAACGUCGUGAGACAGUUCGGUCCCUAUCUGCCGUGGGCGCUGGAGAAUUGAGGGGGGCUGCUCCUAGUACGAGAGGACCGGAGUGGACGCAUCACUGGUGUUCGGGUUGUCAUGCCAAUGGCACUGCCCGGUAGCUAAAUGCGGAAGAGAUAAGUGCUGAAAGCAUCUAAGCACGAAACUUGCCCCGAGAUGAGUUCUCCCUGAGACUUUAAGUCUCCUGAAGGAACGUUAAAGACGAUGACGUUGAUAGGCCGGGUGUGUAAGCGCAGCGAUGCGUUGAGCUAACCGGUACUAAUGAACCGUGAGGCUUAACCUUACAACGCCGAAG